GAUGAACGCUGGCGGCGUGCUUAACACAUGCAAGUCGAACGGAAAGGCCCAGGCUUGCUUGGGUACUCGAGUGGCGAACGGGUGAGUAACACGUGGGUGAUCUGCCCUGCACUUCGGGAUAAGCCUGGGAAACUGGGUCUAAUACCGGAUAGGACCACUUCUUGGAUGUUGUGGUGGAAAGUUUUUUCGGUGUGGGAUGAGCUCGCGGCCUAUCAGCUUGUUGGUGGGGUAAUGGCCUACCAAGGCGUCGACGGGUAGCCGGCCUGAGAGGGUGUACGGCCACAUUGGGACUGAGAUACGGCCCAGACUCCUACGGGAGGCAGCAGUGGGGAAUAUUGCACAAUGGGCGCAAGCCUGAUGCAGCGACGCCGCGUGGGGGAUGACGGCCUUCGGGUUGUAAACUCCUUUCGCUAGGGACGAAGCGUUUUUGUGACGGUACCUGGAGAAGAAGCACCGGCUAACUACGUG
rnacentral:rRNA from 1 species